rnacentral:tRNA from 1 species
GGAGAGGUGUCCGAGCUGGCUGAAGGAGUUAGUCUCGAAAACUAAUAUACGGGAAACCGUAUCGAGGGUUCAAAUCCCUCCCUCUCCU